rnacentral:rRNA from 1 species
GAUGAACGCUGGCGGCGUGCCUAAUACAUGCAAGUCGAGCGAACAGACGAGGAGCUUGCUCCUCUGACGUUAGCGGCGGACGGGUGAGUAACACGUGGAUAACCUACCUAUAAGACUGGGAUAACUUCGGGAAACCGGAGCUAAUACCGGAUAAUAUAUUGAACCGCAUGGUUCAAUAGUGAAAGACGGUUUUGCUGUCACUUAUAGAUGGAUCCGCGCCGCUUUAGCUAGUUGGUAAGGUAACGGCUUACCAAGGCAACGAUGCGUAGCCGACCUGAGAGGGUGAUCGGCCACACUGGAACUGAGACACGGUCCAGACUCCUACGGGAGGCAGCAGUAGGGAAUCUUCCGCAAUGGGCGAAAGCGUGACGGAGCAACGCCGCGUGAGUGAUGAAGGUCUUCGGAUCGUAAAACUCUGUUAUUAGGGAAGAACAAAUGUGUAAGUAACUAUGCACGUCUUGACGGUACCUAAUCAGAAAGCCACGGCUAACUACGUG